UGAUAAUCGAGGUGGUGUUUUGAAGUUU
rnacentral:piRNA from 1 species